UAUGAUCCAGAGUACCACGGGACACGUGAAACCCUGUGGGAAGCAGGAGGGACCACCCUCCAAGGCUAAAUACUACCUAGUGACCGAUAGCGUAUAGUACCGUGAGGGAAAGGUGAAAAGAACCCCGUGAGGGGAGUGAAAUAGAACCUGAAACCCUGCACUUACAAGCUGUGGAAGCACAUUUCUUGUGUGACCGCGUACUUUUUGUAGAACGGGCCAACGAGUUACGUUAAGUA
rnacentral:rRNA from 1 species